UAAAGAGCUCCCGGUUGUAGGGGCGAGG
rnacentral:sRNA from 1 species